rnacentral:lncRNA from 1 species
UUGGUGCUUUUAGCCUAGUGUUUCACCACCUUUUUGGUUUUGCCAAUUGAUUUUGCUAUCAGUGCAAGAGGAUGACGCAAAGGCCACCGCUGAUUCACGAACCAAAGGUUUUGGAAUUUUGCAUGGUGGUGGGUCCGAAUUUUGAUCGAAAUUUUUACAUGAUUGGUAGGCGUAGUGAUGUCAUAUUAUCAGCUUCAUCGGCAGAAGGACAGUUAUUGAUUUGGUGUGGCCAUGGGACAUUUGGACGCAUCACCCACUGGAUGUGCCACUUUUUGUGCCAAUGGGACGUGUGACAUGUUGGAUGUGCAAGUAAAGUGGAGCCUCAUGCGAUCAUUUGUAGUUAAAGUAAAGUGAUGUGUGCCUAUCGUGUGAAAUAAUGGGGAUAGAUAGUGCU